GAGAAGAUGAGAAGGCUGAGGCAGAGAUCGGAGUGAUGCAACCAGGAGCCAAGGAAUGCCUGGAUCCAUGGGAAGCAGAAGAGGCUUUCUCACCAUGUGAUGCUUUCUGCUAUGUUAUGAUACAGCAAGAAGGGCCUCACAAGAUGUGACCUCUUGUUCUUGGACUUCUCAGCCUCCAGAAUCAUGAGAAAAAAAGGCUCAGCACUGUGAAGACUGAUUGCCACCUCCCCCUUCCCCAGCAAUCUUGUGGAGAUCUGGUCAGAGAAGCUGUUCCAUCUUCCACAAACCUCGUGGCUCAGAAGCAGAGGUGGAGGCUGCAGACCUCAUGUCAGGACUGGGUCCACUAAAAUAAAAACAGUCCCCCUAGUCUGGAUGCCCUGUGUGCCUUGCAAUUGAGAAAAUGUGAAUGAAACCAUGAAAUACUAUGCAGCCAUAAAAAGGAAUGAAAUUAUGUCUUUUGUAGGAACAUGAAUGGAGCUAGAAGCCAUUAUUCUCAGCAAACUAACACAGGAACAGAAAACCAAAUACCACAUGUUCUCACUUAUAAGUGGGAGCUGAAGCA